CGCCGCGCCGGUUGCCGUGGUGACGGCGGCCAUGGAGGGCGGCGGAGGCGGCGGGCGGCCCUCGGCCCUGCAGGCCGCGCUGCUGGCGGCCAGCGCCGCCCUCACGGCGCUGCUGUGCUCCGCGUACCGCCGCAAGGCCCGGCUGGCCCGCGGCCUCCAGGGCGCCAGGAGGCUGCGGCUGGACGGGGAGCUGCGGGCCGUGCUGCUGGAGGCGCCGGGGCGCUGCGUGCCCUAUGCGGUCAUCGAAGGCGUGGUGCGCUCCGUGAAGGACACCCUGAGCAGCCAGUUCGUGGAGGACUGCAAGGGCGUGGUGCAGAGGCUGACGCUGCAGGAGCACAAGAUGGUGUGGAACCGAACCACCCACCUCUGGAACGACUACGAGAAGGUGAUCCACCAGCGGACCAACGCGGCCCCCUUCGACCUGGCCCCUGCGGGGGACGGCGCCGGCGUCGCCGUGAGGGUGAUGAAGCCGCUGGAAGCCGCCGAGCUCAGCCUGGAGACGGUGUACGAGAAGUUCCACCCCUCGGUGCAGUCCUUCACCGACGUCCUCGGCCACUACAUCAGCGGCGAGCGCCCCAAGGGCAUCCAGGAGACGGAGCAGAUGCUGAAGGUGGGGACGGUGCUGACGGGCGUGGGGGAGCUGGUGCUGGACAGCAACACCAUCAGGCUGCAGCCGCCCAAGCAGGGCCUGCGGUACUACCUGAGCAGCGCGGACUUCGACGCCUUGCUGCAGAAGCAGCAGGCGAGCGUCAGGCUCUGGAAGGUCCUCGCCGUCCUCUCCGGCUUCGCCACCUGCGCCGUCCUCUUCUUCCUCCUGCGGAAGCAGUACCGGCACCGCCGCGAGAGGCAGCGCCUCAAGCAGCUGCAGGAGGAGUUCAGGCAAGCCCAGGAGCAGCGGCUGACGCGCCAAGCCGGCGCGGAGGGCGCGGAGGGGCCGAGAAACGCCUGCGUGAUCUGCCUGAGCAACGCCAAGGCCUGCGUCUUCCUGGAGUGCGGCCACGUCUGCUCCUGCAGCGAGUGCUACCGCGCCCUGCGGGACCCCAAGGCGUGCCCCGUCUGCAGGCAGCCCAUCGCCAGGGUGGUUCCCCUCUACAACAGCUGAGCCCCCGCGCCCGGGGGGGGCUUUGGGGCGUUAAAGCUCCCUCCCUAGCGGGGGGUUUCUCGCCGCUCCUGCUUCGGCUGGCACGUCUCGCUGCUUGGGCAGGUGGUUUGUGCGUGUUUGUUUUUUGUGGUUUUCUGGUUUUGUUUUGCUGGGAAGGGAAUCGAAAAUGCUGGGGGAGGGGAGGGGGCUGGCGCAGAGCGGGGCGCCUCGGCUGGGUGCGGAGGGAGGUUUGCGUGGAGGCCGAAGGCCAGCUCGCUGCCGAGAUACCCGCGGUGGGAAAACUUGGUGACAAAAAGCUGCGAGAGGGCUGCUGGGAGGCUGCGGCACGCGGGCGGCACUGCCACCUAGCAGCAGCUCCUCCGCCCCCUGGGCAGGACGGUCUCCUGCGGAGCUUCUGCGGGGUUUUGCGUGAACGCUGAUGUUUUUGGGGCGAGAGGGGUGCGGCGUUUCCCUCGGCUGCCCCGAGGCCUCCUGCCGCGCGUGGCGGGGGGCCGUUGGUUCCUCACCGCGCCAGGACAGGAGAACGAGGAAGUGACAGCGCGGUUUCCGCCGCCAGGCUCGAGCUGGGAGCUGGAACGGGCUGUAAAAUAAUAAAAGUGGCUGAGAGUGGUUAUCGAAGAUGAUAGAAUCGAUGACGUGCUGCAAAAUCUCUCCGAAAAGGCCCCUCCCGGUGUUUAAUACCUCUCCGGGGACAUUCGGUGAAAACCGGGGCCGGGUGUGGGGGGGGCGGUUUCCAAUAUCCCAGGUUUUUGGCAAAAAUUAACUAAAAAAAAAAAAAAAAAAAGCACCGGGAGAACCAACGCGCCGGGCUCGGAGCGCCGUCACCGCCAGCACGCCGCGCAGGGGAUGCAGGCGACAGGACAGCACAGGAUCCCCGUGAGAUGCAAAAUUACAUACAAAAAAAAGAAAAUAAUAAUUGGGGAAAAAAAGAAUAAAACCCGCUCCACAAUCCCCCCCCCCCAGCCACGUCCACAAAGGCUCGCGAGGGACGGAGGCGCUGCGGGUUUCUGCGCCGGGGACGGCGAGCGCAGCGCCGGGGCUCGGACCCUCGGGUGGCGCCGAGCGGGCGCCUUGUUUACACGAGUUAACCUUGCAAAAAUGAAUCCGUGCACUUGGAGGUACCAUGCUACUGGUUCUGUUCUUUGAUUUCGUUUUGGUUUUAUUUUAUUUUUAUUUUUUACGUUGGUGUCUUUCGAUGUUGGGAAAUGAUAUAAAAUAUAUAUAGAUAUCUAUAUUUCGGUCGCGUUUUAAGGUUCACAAUGGAAUGCGUGGGGGGGAAAAAAAGCAAAACAAAACAACUUUUAUAAAGGAACGGACUGGAGGGAGAAUUGUGGUUUUAUUUUUUAAAGCUUGCACUUCUUGGUUGCUGUGAGCAAACGGCUCUGUGCAGACGGAGAUUUUAUAUGUACGGGGGGGAUGCUCGGCCUUUUUAACAACCAUGCAGUCUGUAGUGUGGGUAAUUUUUUUUUUUCUUAUAUUGUGGCAGUUUCCUCUCUUUAAUAGACUGUAUUAAAAAAGAAAAAACUCGAUCACAAAUUAACCUGAUGGAUGUAAUCAUCACAAGAGUGCCAAACGCUGGGUGCCGGAGAGCCGCGUUUCAUGCCCAGGCUUUGCGCUCUCGCGGGCAGCGCCGGGGCUUCGCUCGGCUCCUACGCCUCUGUCGGUCUCUCGUGGGGUUUCUUUGACUUCUCUUUUCUAGUCUUUCUUUUUAACUAUUUUGCAUGACAUGCAAAAAAAAAAAAAGGAAAAAAAAAAAAAACCAAGCACCUCUCGUGCGAGGGCCUAUUUUAUUGUUUUCUGUUUGCGACUCUGAAUGACAGACCUCAAGCCAGGUUUCCUUUCCUCCUUUUCUUAAAUAUCGUGUAUGGUGCACUUCUCCUCCACUACACAGGGCUAUUUCUGCAAUGUACCAAUAAAAAGGAAAAUGAGACAAAA